rnacentral:lncRNA from 1 species
GGGUGCCUGGGUCGGGGGCUGCAGGUGGGAGUGAGCAAAUGUGCUGUCUCGCCACCUCGGGACAGGUGGUAGGGCCUCUGACACAGAGUGGUCCUUCCUGCUGUUCACAGCUCAGCUCACCGUGGGCUGACCAUAGAUUCUCGUUGAAAUCCUAACGCCCCAGGCAAUGAUGUUAGGAGGCGGGGCUUCUGGGAGAUGGCAAGUUCGUGAGGCUGCAGCUCUGCUGGGGGAUCAGUGUCCUUCUACAAGCGGCUCCAGGGAGGUCCCUUGCCCCUUCCACCAUGUGAGGACCCGAGAUGGUGCCGUCUAUGAACCGGGAAGUGAGUCCUCUCCGGACGUGGAACAAGUUGGUGCCUUGAUUUUGAACUUGCAGCCUCCAGGUAUGAAUGUGAGCUCUGGGCUCACUGCCUGUGGGGAGCCCUGCCUCACAAGGAGGGGUCCCUCUGCAUCUGCCAUGCAUGGCUGUUUCAAUCAAAGCUGCUGUCUAACACCACCGGCUCGACCUUGAGUUCCUCCCUGAGCAAAGCCAAGCGACCUCCUGGACUGAGCCAGUUUUCGUGCCUGCCUGCCCUGGCUCAUUGGCCAGGGACCCCACCCCGCCAUGUCCAGGCCUUGGUGAUACAGGACAGAGGUGCCCGUGCAGGUUGUGCCUGUGGCUGGGUCCCCAGGGAGAAGGUGGCAACCCCAGGCCAGCAGCCUCCUACCCUGAACUCCAGGCAACAUCGUCGGCCCCCUGGCACUGCACCUGCACUGUGGGCAGAGAAGGAGGGAAGGCUGGGAGAGGAGGAGGAGGUCGAAUGUCGCUGGAGGUCGGCGUCCUUCUGCAGCCGUGGCUUCAUGGGGUUUAAGUACGAUGAUGCUGCAUUGAGACGUUGUACUGUGUGAAGUCAGGGCCUUCUGUGCAUCGGUCGAGGGUGCAAUGCACACGGCACCCCCGAGCAGCCACCCAUCCUCCCUUCCCUCCACCCUGCGAGGCCCCGUUGUCCGUCUGUCCACACUCUGCUCCAUGAGCACACGUGACUUAGCUUCGCCUUGUGAGCCGCUGCUUGGGGUGAGCAUGCUUCCUGCUGGAUGCUUCUCUAUGUAAGCACCUGCCUGAGUGUCAGCCCUCUUAAGGUGAACCGCUCCGUGUCAUUCGUACAUUCACAAGUUUGUGCCGCCAUCAUCGUGAUCGGAUUCCAAAACAUUUUCAUCACCUCCAAGAAAGCCUUGUACCUGGCAGCAGUCACUGUCUCUAUGGAUUUGCUUAUUCUGGACAUUUCAUAAAAAUAGAAUCAAACAGCAUUUGGCUCUUCGUGUCUGGCCUGUUUCUCUGAGCACGAUAUUUCGAAGAUUCAGCUGGGUCUCGCUCCUGUUCCUGGCUGAAGCUGAAUAAUAUUCCAGUGCACGGCUGGACCACAGUCAUCAACUGACGGACACUUGGUGGUCUCACAUUUCCACUGGUGUGAAUAGUCCUGCUGUGAACAUGCGUGUGCGAGAUUUUGGUUGAACACUUGUCCUCAGUCCUCUUGGGGCAGUGCCAGCCUUGGCAGACGGGCCGGACAGAGGAGGGAUGAUGGCUCAGGCUGGCAGGGGCUGCCACGGGGCAGCGAUGGCCACCUCGAGCCUGGCCAGUGCUUCUGGACUUCCUCUCUGCUGACUUUGUUCCCUGGCUAGAAACAGUUGUGGCAGCGCUCCCAGACCGGGCGUCUGCACGGAGUGGCCUCAGCUUCCUUGAGCUGUGGGAAUUUAACG